rnacentral:rRNA from 1 species
CCUACGGGAGGCAGCAGUGGGGAAUAUUGGUCAAUGGGCGCUAGCCUGAACCAGCCAAGUAGCGUGAAGGAUGACUGCCCUAUGGGUUGUAAACUUCUUUUAUAUGGGAAUAAAGUGCAGUAUGUAUACUGCUUUGCAUGUACCUUAUGAAUAAGGAUCGGCUAACUCCGUCCCAGCAGCCGCGGUAAUACGGAGGAUCCGAGCGUUAUCCGGAUUUAUUGGGUUUAAAGGGAGCGUAGGCGGGUUGUUAAGUCAGUUGUGAAAGUUUGGGGCUCAACCCUAAAAUUGCAGUUGAUACUGGUAUUCUUGAGUGAAGGAGAGGUAGGCGGAAUUCGUGGUGUAGCGGUGAAAUGCUUAGAUAUCACGAAGAACUCCGAUUGCGAAGGCAGCCUACUGGACUGUAACUGACGCUGAUGCACGAAAGUGUGGGUAUCAAACAGGAUUAGAUACCCUAGUAGUC